rnacentral:misc_RNA from 1 species
GAUGAAGAACGUAGCGAAAUGCGAUAAGUAAUGUGAAUUGCAGAAUUCAGUGAAUCAUCGAAUCUUUGAACGCACAUUGCGCCCGCCAGUAUUCUGGCGGGCAUGCCUGUUCGAGCGUCAUUUCAACCAUCAAGCCCCGGGCUUGUGUUGGGGACCUGCGGCUGCCGCAGGCCCUGAAAAGCAGUGGCGGGCUCGCUGUCACACCGAGCGUAGUAGCAUACAUCUCGCUCUGGGCGUGCUGCGGGUUCCGGCCGUUAAACCACCUUUUAACCCAAGGUUGACCUCGGAUCAGGUAGGAAGACCCGCUGAGUUUAAGCAUAUCAAUAAGCGGAGGA